GGGGGUAUCGUCUAGAGGCCUAGGAUACCGCCCUUUCACGGCGGCGACACGGGUUCGAAUCCCGUUACCCCUA
rnacentral:tRNA from 1 species